rnacentral:rRNA from 1 species
GACGAACGCUGGCGGCGUGCCUAAUACAUGCAAGUUGAGCGCUGAAGGUUGGUACUUGUACCAACUGGAUGAGCAGCGAACGGGUGAGUAACGCGUGGGGAAUCUGCCUUUGAGCGGGGGACAACAUUUGGAAACGAAUGCUAAUACCGCAUAAAGACUUUAAACACAAGUUUUAAGUUUGAAAGAUGCAAUUGCAUCACUCAAAGAUGAUCCCGCGUUGUAUUAGCUAGUUGGUGAGGUAAAGGCUCACCAAGGCGAUGAUACAUAGCCGACCUGAUAGGGUGAUCGGCCACAUUGGGACUGAGACACGGCCCAAACUCCUACGGGAGGCAGCAGUAGGGAAUCUUCGGCAAUGGACGAAAGUCUGACCGAGCAACGCCGCGUGAGUGAAGAAGGUUUUCGGAUCGUAAAACUCUGUUGGUAGAGAAGAACGUUGGUGAGAGUGGAAAGCUCAUCAAGUGACGGUAACUACCCAGAAAGGGACGGCUAACUACGUG